rnacentral:rRNA from 1 species
GAUGAACGCUGGCGGCGUGCCUAAUACAUGCAAGUCGAGCGAACGGACGAGAAGCUUGCUUUUCUGAUGUUAGCGGCGGACGGGUGAGUAACACGUGGAUAACCUACCUAUAAGACUGGGAUAACUUCGGGAAACCGGAGCUAAUACCGGAUAAUAUUUUGAACCGCAUGGUUCAAAAGUGAAAGACGGUCUUGCUGUCACUUAUAGAUGGAUCCGCGCUGCAUUAGCUAGUUGGUAAGGUAACGGCUUACCAAGGCAACGAUGCAUAGCCGACCUGAGAGGGGGAUCGGCCACACUGGAACUGGGCCACGGUCCCGACCCCUACGGGGGGCAGCAGUAGGGACUCUUCCGCAAUGGGCGAAAGCCUGACGGGGCAACGCCGCGUGGGUGAUGAAGGUCUUCGGAUCGUAAAACUCUGUUAUUAGGGAAGAACAUAUGUGUAAGUAACUGUGCACAUUUUGACGGUACCAAAUCAGAAAGCCCCGGCUAACUCCGU